GCACUCGUAGCUCAGUGGAUAGAGCAACAGCCUCCGGAGCUGUGUGUCGAGGGUUCGAAUCUCUUCGAGUGCG
rfam:Clostridium sp. CAG:253 genomic scaffold, scf265